rnacentral:lncRNA from 1 species
UUCCACACGUCCCUCUGUGAAAACAUGAUGGAGACAGAUGCAGGACGUGGGUCCUUUCGUGAACAGAUGUCAACGGGGUGGACACUGGUGUACGACUUCUGACCCCAUGUGACGUAUUCACCUACUUUACAUGCUUUUAGAAAACUUUUAAUUUUUUUUUAUUCUGCCGUCAUGUGCAGCAAACAGUGAACUGGUACCUCCACAUUUUAAUGACACACAUUACAUGCUUUUGUUUUUAUUUUUAUUUUUUAGAGGACGCUCUGACCCAACACUCAGCCUUACAGGAAGCCCUGCUUCCCUGUGGCUUCCCUCACACACAGACAUGAUGUAGGUUUCAGAGGACGUGAACCAGUGGUCAUCACACCUAAAUCUGACCAUGAAUUCAAAAAACAUCACUCUUUUAAAGGAAGCCAUAGAUGGUGUUACUGCAGACACCACUAAGCUACUGAAACAUUGGAUGCUACAGGCCACAAAGAGAGCCUGUCUAAAUUACAGUUUAUUCAGACAAAGGUUAUUUUUCUGGGUCAUUGUAAUUACAGCUGAUGGCAAAUCCAUCUCACCCAACAGAGUUGAAGCAAUUUGAAACCUGCCUAAACCGUGCACGUAUAAACAGUUUAUCUUUUCUAGGUUUUUGUUCUUAUUGUAGGAACUUCAUUCUUAACUUUACUGUCUUUGAGGCCCCACUCAGGGUUCUGAUGCAGACAUCUUCAUCGUCCACUUCUUGUCUCACGUGGACGUCUGAGGCUGAACAACGUUCACUGACCUCAUGCUUGCUCUUCGGUCAGAAAUCAGGUUGUACGACUUCUGUUCUUUUGUCCUCAUACUUUGAUUCUUUAGGAACAAAAAACAUCACAUCUUUCUACAGCCCGAUGGCUUAGAUGCAACACUACCUUGCUUAACAUGCUAAACAUUACUAUCAAGAUGCCAUCUUGAAGUCUUGCUCUUUGCUAAGACACUACUCUGCUCAAGCUGCAGAGUUGACUGCGUUGACUGAAGCUGGUAAACUAGCAGAAGGAGAGUCUGUUACCAUCUACACAGACUCCACAGACACUCUGUGGAAGCAUAGGAAGCUUUUGAAGUCUGAUUGCAAACCUAUCUUACAUCAUAAUAAGUUUGCUGCUUUGCUGGACCACUAACGAAAAGAACUGAGAAGGACGACCCUCGCUGUGCUCACACACGCACUGAGGCGAGGCUGCGUUGACUGUUCAGCUAAAGGUGUGAGCCAAGUGCCGCCUGAAGCUGCGCCGGUGAAUCACACUAUCAGAACAAACAUCUACACACACGCUCCUGAGAAAACACACACACGAGCAGCCUUGAGUUGCCGACGCUGGACGACGUGUAGACUCUUCACAUCACGGGAGUGACAGUGACUCAGACGACAUUGGGAGGAAACCUGGCGGUGAUAACAAAUCCCAAGUGUCUCUGUGAUCAGCUGAUCACAACCUGGAAAAACGAACGAAACGAACUGUGAAUACAUCAACACACAGGUUGGAAACAAUCUAACGCUACUGUUCAACAGGAAGAAGCAGAUUGUUACAAGACAUCAAUUGUAACCUUGUUUUGUUAAACUUCAUUUCAUGUUACUUGGAUUAUUGCCUUGAUCAUAUGACGUUUCUAUUUAACUUUACACACUACUUUUGAAUGAGAAAAUUUCACAUAAUUUACAACACUGAGUUUAAAUAUCCUGAAGUUGAUUUGGUGUUUAAUUUGCUCACAAUCACUUUAUUCACUGCUACAAUUAGUUUUUAUUCUUCAUCGACAGAUGAUAGAGGUUGUAAGACAACACAAGCAGCAAAUGCAUCAUCAUUCUGGUUUAAUCCCUGAUUCUCGUAUUCAUUCUAGACCCAAAUCUACAAUUAAAGAUCUAAAAGUUAUCCC